UAAAUCAGUCAGCCUAAUCUUAAUUGCCCCAAACAUUGAGGCAAUUAAAGAGCGGAGGAACCAAAAAUGGGGCGUAUUUUGGAUUAUCCAAAAAGGAUAUCUCUCAGUCCUAGCCCGUCAGCUAACUUCGUCGGCAUUGAGAGGAGAUUGA
rnacentral:sRNA from 2 species